UACGUAGGGACCGAGCGUUGUCCGGAUUCAUUGGGCGUAAAGGGCUCGUAGGCGGCCAACUAAGUCAGACGUGAAAUGCCUCGGCUUAACCGGGGAACUGCGUCUGAUACUGGAUGGCUUGAGUUUGGGAGAGGGAUGCGGAAUUCCAGGUGUAGCGGUGAAAUGCGUAGAUAUCUGGAGGAACACCGGUGGCGAAGGCGGCAUCCUGGACCAACACUGACGCUGAGUGAGCGAAAGCCAGGGGAGCAAACGGG
rnacentral:rRNA from 1 species